UAAUAAAAGGUUUUGAUCACACAGAGAGAGAGAGAGAGAAUGGGAUGCGGGAUCUCCUCCUCUUUUCGCCUCCCACGCCUCUCUCAAGUCCCCCGAUUUACCAAGGAGGCAGCCUCCUCCUGCUGCUCUUCCUCCCUCCCCACCCCGGUCGGAGGAGCCUGCCACUCGCCUCGCCUCGCCUCGCCUUGCCUUGCCCUGCCUGCUUCCUCAGGCGACGGGGACCUCCCCCGCGCUCGCCACGAUCACGGGAGGCACACCGGGAGGGGCUGCUGCUGCUGGUGGUGGUGAAGUGAAGCCGGUCAGGGACCUGUCGUCCUACUCUGCGUGCGCGGAGGUUCCUCGCCUCUUCCUCCCCCUCUUGGGCGCCCUUUCGCCUCCUCCUCCUCCCCUCCUCCUCCUCCUCCUCCUCCUCUUGGCUGCCUUGACCCCCUAGGAGCCGAGCCAUGAGGCACCAUCGCCAGCUUGGCUGCCGCCACCCCGAGCUCCUCGACAGCAGCCCAAGAGGGACCUGUUGGCCGGCUCGGAAGUUCCAGGAGGCGCUUCUCCGAUGCUAAGGAACCCUGCGGAGCCACCCUCCUCGGCCUCUUCCUCCUCCGCUGCUUCCCUAGGAGAGCCAACGCCGGAGACUUGCCACCCUCGCUCGGGGCUGCCGGACGGGGCCUCCUCCUCCUCCUCCUCCUCCUCUUGGUUGGCCUCCGCCUUUCCGCCCACCUUGGGAGACUCAUGGCCAACCCGGCGGCCCUCGGGACCUUUCCUGCUUCCUUGGGGCCACUGAUGCUUCCUGGAAGGAAGAGCGAGCAGCCUUAACGGGGAGGCAGCCAGGAGGGGCCCCUUCGAGGACCGCGCUGGCCACCAGGAGCCCACGAGGGGCGCCCAGGACGGCGAGGCGGGCGAGAGGCAGGCUCGGGACCCAGCACAGCCGCGUCCCCCUCCUUGCCUACAGGCACCCCCUCCCGGCCGGAGUCGCCUCCUCCUCCUCCUCCUCCCCCUCCUCCUGCUCUUCCUCUCGCCUCGGACUUUCUGCCCUGCUCCCCCUCCCCUCCUCGGCUCUCCGGAUCAUGUCCGCUCGGCUGUUGCUGGGUGUCUUCCUCCUCUCCGUGCUCCAAGCUUGCUCAAGGAAGGUCGAAGACGAUGACUUUGAGGAUUUUACGACAAAUCAAAAAUGGGUAAUGUCUCCAAAAACACACGACACCGAUGUGACACUGUUGCUAAACAAGUUGCUAAGAGAAUAUGAUAAAAAGCUGCGGCCAGACAUUGGAAGUGAGUGCUUUUUUCUACAAUUUUCUGCAGUGGAGGUGAUGAAUGUCUGUAUUAUUUAUUGCAGAUAAUUAUGCUCAUAUUUGCUCUUUAGUGACCAAUGUGAACCGUCAAGAGCAAUACCUAAUGCUGUGUUUAUGUUCAGGUUUACUGUAAUCUGUACUAUAUAUGCCAGACAAUAGAGAAUACAAACAACAGACCAGAAAGC
rnacentral:lncRNA from 11 species